AACUGACGCUGAGGCACGAAAGCGUGGGUAGCAAACAGGAUUAGAUACCCUGGUAGUCCACGCUGUAAACGAUGAUUACUAGGUGUGGGGGGUCUGACCCCUUCCGUGCCGGAGUUAACACAAUAAGUAAUCCACCUGGGGAGUACGACCGCAAGGUUGAAACUCAAAGGAAUUGACGGGGGCCCGCACAAGCAGUGGAGUAUGUGGUUUAAUUCGAAGCAACGCGAAGAACCUUACCAGGUCUUGACAUCGAGUGACGAAUCUAGAGAUAGAUUUUUCCUUCGGGACACGAAGACAGGUGGUGCAUGGUUGUCGUCAGCUCGUGUCGUGAGAUGUUGGGUUAAGUCCCGCAACGAGCGCAACCCUUGCUAUUAGUUGCUACGCAAGAGCACUCUAAUAGGACUGCCGUUGACAAAACGGAGGAAGGUGGGGACGACGUCAAAUCAUCAUGCCCCUUAUGACCUGGGCUACACACGUACUACAAUGGAUGUUAACAGAGGGAAGCAAAAUAGCGAUAUGGAGCAAACCCCUAAAAGCAUUCCCAGUUCAGAUUGCAGGCUGCAACUCGCCUGUAUGAAGUUGGAAUUGCUAGUAAUCGCG
rnacentral:rRNA from 1 species